rnacentral:tRNA from 1 species
GGGGGGUUAGCUCAGUGGUUAGCGCUUAGGUCUCGUAACCGGGUGGUCGCGUGAUCAAAUCCCGCAGAAUUUU